rnacentral:rRNA from 1 species
GCACAACGCGAAGAACCUUACCCACCUUUGACAUGGCAGGAACUUACCAGAGAUGGUUUGGUGCUCGAAAGAGAACCUGCACACAGGUGCUGCAUGGCUGUCGUCAGCUCGUGUCGUGAGAUGUUGGGUUAAGUCCCGCAACGAGCGCAACCCUUGCCAUUAGUUGCUACAUUCAGUUGAGCACUCUAAUGGGACUGCCGGUGACAAACCGGAGGAAGGUGGGGAUGACGUCAAGUCCUCAUGGCCCUUAUAGGUGGGGCUACACACGUCAUACAAUGGCUGGUACAAAGGGUUGCCAACCCGCGAGGGGGAGCUAAUCCCAUAAAGCCAGUCGUAGUCCGGAUCGCAGUCUGCAACUCGACUGCGUGAAGUCGGAAUCGCUAGUAAUCGUGGAUCAGAAUGUCACGGUGAAUACGUUCCCGGGUCUUGUACACACCG